GAUGAACGCUGGCGGCGUGCCUAAUACAUGCAAGUAGAACGCUGAAGGAGGAGCUUGCUCUUCUGGAUGAGUUGCGAACGGGUGAGUAACGCGUAGGUAACCUGCCUGGUAGCGGGGGAUAACUAUUGGAAACGAUAGCUAAUACCGCAUGACAACAGUUAUUGCAUGAUAACUGUUUAAAAGGGGCAACUGCUCCACUACCAGAUGGACCUGCGUUGUAUUAGCUAGUUGGUGAGGUAACGGCUCACCAAGGCGACGAUACAUAGCCGACCUGAGAGGGUGAUCGGCCACACUGGGACUGAGACACGGCCCAGACUCCUACGGGAGGCAGCAGUAGGGAAUCGUCGGCAAUGGACGGAAGUCUGAGCGAGCAACGCCGCGUGAGGGAAGAAGGUUUUCGGAUCGUAAAGCUCUGUUGUAAGAGAAGAACGAGUGUGAGAGUGGAAAGUUCACACUGUGACGGUAACUUACCAGAAAGGGACGGCUAACUACGUG
rnacentral:rRNA from 1 species